AUUGAACGCUGGCGGCAGGCCUAACACAUGCAAGUCGAACGAGUGGCGGACGGGUGAGUAAUGUCUGGGAACCUGCUUGAUGGAUGGGGAUAAUUACUGGAAACGGUACCUAAUCCCGCAUACCAUCAGAUGUGCCCAGAUGGGAUUAGCUAGUUGGUGGGGUAACGGCUCACAAAGGCGACGAUCCCUAGCUGGUCUGAGAGGUUGACCAGCCACACUGGAACUGAGACACGGUCCAGACUCCUACGGGAGGCAGCAGUGGGGAAUAUUGCGCAAUGGGCGCAAGCCUGAUGCAGCCAUGCCGCGUGUGUGAAGAAGGCCUUCGGGUUGUAAAGUACUUUCAGCGGGGAGGCGUUACCCGCAGAAAAAGCAACGGCUAACUCCGUGCCAGCAGCCGCGGUAAUAC
rnacentral:rRNA from 1 species